CAUGCAAGUCGAACGAGCGAGAGAGAGCUUGCUUUCUCGAGCGAGUGGCGAACGGGUGAGUAACGCGUGAGGAACCUGCCUCAAAGAGGGGGACAACAGUUGGAAACGACUGCUAAUACCGCAUAAGCCCACGGUGCCGCAUGGCACAGAGGGAAAAGGAGUAAUCCGCUUUGAGAUGGCCUCGCGUCCGAUUAGCUAGUUGGUGAGGUAACGGCCCACCAAGGCGACGAUCGGUAGCCGGACUGAGAGGUUGAACGGCCACAUUGGGACUGAGACACGGCCCAGACUCCUACGGGAGGCAGCAGUGGGGAAUAUUGCACAAUGGGGGAAACCCUGAUGCAGCGACGCCGCGUGGAGGAAGAAGGUCUUCGGAUUGUAAACUCCUGUUGUUGGGGAAGAUAAUGACGGUACCCACCAAGGAAGUGACGGCUAACUACGUGCCAGCAGCCGCGGUAAAACGUAGGUCACAAGCGUUGUCCGGAAUUACUGGGUGUAAAGGGAGCGCAGGCGGGAAGACAAGUUGGAAGUGAAAUCUAUGGGCUCAACCCAUAAACUGCUUUCAAAACUGUUUUUCUUGAGUAGUGCAGAGGUAGGCGGAAUUCCCGGUGUAGCGGUGGAAUGCGUAGAUAUCGGGAGGAACACCAGUGGCGAAGGCGGCCUACUGGGCACCAACUGACGCUGAGGCUCGAAAGUGUGGGUAGCAAACAGGAUUAGAUACCCUGGUAGUCCACACCGUAAACGAUGAUUACUAGGUGUUGGAGGAUUGACCCCUUCAGUGCCGCAGUUAACACAAUAAGUAAUCCACCUGGGGAGUACGACCGCAAGGUUGAAACUCAAAGGAAUUGACGGGGGCCCGCACAAGCAGUGG
rnacentral:rRNA from 1 species